UACGUAGGGUGCAAGCGUUGUCCGGAAUUAUUGGGCGUAAAGAGCUCGUAGGCGGUUUGUUGCGUCGGCUGUGAAAUCCCGAGGCUCAACCUCGGGUCUGCAGUCGAUACGAGCAAACUAGAGUGUUGCAGGGGAGACUGGAAUUCCUGGUGUAGCGGUGAAAUGCGCAGAUAUCAGGAGGGAACACCCAAUGGCGAAGGCAGCACU
rnacentral:rRNA from 1 species